GGCUCGGUAGCUUAGUCGAUCAAGCACUUGUCUAGUGUAUAAGGGUGGUGAGUUCAAAUCUCUCUUGAGCUA
rnacentral:tRNA from 1 species